GUGCCAGCCGCCGCGGUAAUACGGAGGAUGCAAGCGUUAUCCGGAAUCAUUGGGCGUAAAGAGUCCGUAGGUGGCACUUUAAGUCUGCUUUCAAAGACCGAAGCUCAACUUCGGAAAGGGAGUGGAAACUGAAGAGCUAGAGUAUAGUAGGGGUAGAGGGAAUUCCUAGUGUAGCGGUGAAAUGCGUAGAGAUUAGGAAGAACACCAGUGGCGAAGGCGCUCUACUGGGCAUAUACUGACACUGAGGGACGAAAGCUAGGGGAGCGAAAGGGAUUAGAUACCCCUGUAGUCCUAGCGGUAAACGAUGGAUACUAGGCGUAGUGCUGUUAGAAGGACUGUGCCGAAGCUAACGCGUUAAGUAUCCCGCCUGGGGAGUACGGCCGCAAGGUUAAAACUUAAAUGAAUUGACGGGG
rnacentral:rRNA from 1 species